GUGCCAGCCGCCGCGGUAAUACGUAGGGUGCGAGCGUUGUCCGGAAUUAUUGGGCGUAAAGAGCUCGUAGGCGGCCUGUUGCGUCUGCUGUGAAAGCCCGGGGCUUAACCCCGGGUCUGCAGUGGAUACGGGCAGGCUAGAGUUCGGCAGGGGAGACUGGAAUUCCUGGUGUAGCGGUGAAAUGCGCAGAUAUCAGGAGGAACACCGGUGGCGAAGGCGGGUCUCUGGGCCGAUACUGACGCUGAGGAGCGAAAGCGUGGGGAGCGAACAGGAUUAGAUACCCCCGUAGUCC
rnacentral:rRNA from 1 species